GAGUUUGAUCCUGGCUCAGAUUGAACGCUGGCGACAUGCCUUACACAUGCAAGUCGAACGGCAGCACGGGAGCUUGCUCCUGGUGGCGAGUGGCGAACGGGUGAGUAAUGCAUCGGAACGUAUCCUGGAGUGGGGGAUAACGUAGCGAAAGUUACGCUAAUACCGCAUAUUCUGUGAGCAGGAAAGCGGGGGACCUUCGGGCCUCGCGCUCUUGGAGCGGCCGAUGUCGGAUUAGCUAGUUGGUGAGGUAAAGGCUCACCAAGGCGACGAUCCGUAGCAGGUCUGAGAGGAUGAUCUGCCACACUGGAACUGAGACACGGUCCAGACUCCUACGGGAGGCAGCAGUGGGGAAUUUUGGACAAUGGGGGCAACCCUGAUCCAGCCAUGCCGCGUGAGUGAAGAAGGCCUCGGUU
rnacentral:rRNA from 1 species